rnacentral:lncRNA from 1 species
CAGAACCUCUAGGCUAUUUUUUUUUAAUCUCAUCUUGUCAAUUUUGUAGCCUAAAAUUUCAAAAAUAUCAUUUAUCUCAUCUAGAAAAAAAGAAUAGUUUUGAUAUAUUAGGCUACAAAAUUGACAAGAUGAGAUUAAAAAAAAAUAGCCUAGAGGUUCUAGGAGACUUAACAUAUGAUCCUUUUAAGGGGGAAGGGAGCUUCUUAUUAGAAACUAUUCUAUGCACCUCUGUAUCUAUAGUUUCGGUUGGAUCUUGGUCAAGAUGGAUACAUCCAGUAUCUGCUAUGUACUUAUCCAAGAAGGAGACAUAUGUUUCACGUUUUAACAAGAUCACUGCCUUGGUCUUAUAUCUUUAGUGCAAACAAUAUUAUUCUGGUCAAGCCAUUCUUCUACUUUCUUUACUUUCAAGUUUUGAGACUUCACUCCAGAUAAAUUAGCUCACUUAAUAGUUUUGGCUACAUGCCAUCUUAAUUCAUCUGCCCUUACUCGAUCAAUUUUUUGUAAAAGAGGUUCCAUUUGUAUGGCUAUUAUCUCCCAGUUAGAAACGUUCUCAAUUAAGUUGUUCGGUCCUAGUGAUAAUGCUUCGUGAACUAUAGGUGGGAUCUCUCUAUUAUCUAGCACUAUGUAAUUUGGUACUGAUGUACAGGUUUUCUUUUUGACUUGGAUGCGAAUUAACCACUUUUAGAUGGAGAGGUGAGUGGAGUGCUUUCUAGUGGGA